GCGGGAAAAUAAAAUAAUUCAGGCGCGUUAAUUUGGUAAGUGGAGGCGCUUUACCAUUGCAAAUUUAAAAAUAAAUGCUAUCUUAUCUGAAAAAUAUAUUAAAAAUAAUUCAGCCACGUUUCUUUUGUUUCUGUUUCUUCUCCGUAGUCUGCUUGACUUCCUCAAAUUCUCAGAUUCAUCACCACUCCUUUUGUCACCAUUGCUCGUUAUCCCACCACCACCAGCUCGUCACCACCAUCACCAUAUCUCUCAUCCGCUUCGAUGGUUCAGGUCGGCGGGGAAGAUGCUUUGAUGGUUCAGGUCGCUGGAGAUGUCUCAUUCUCUGAGUAUGAGCCUCCCUCUUGGCAGAGCCAAAGUUUCUCCGGACUGAUUUCAGGGUUUCAUAAGGGGUUGUUGGAUCAUGUAGCUUCUUAGUUAUGACCUCUAGCACAACAUGAGAUCGAAGGGUAUCACAGGACACAAUUGUUGCUUGAGUAGAAGCCCGUGAUUGUUAGUUACAUUAACUGGAAAACAAUGGAAACAGAGAAUUAAUUGACAAAGGCUAUAGAGCCCAAAGUACCCACACAUCAGUGCAACUCCAAGGAACAAGUCUGACCAUUUUAAAAUGUGCUUCCUGUUUAGCUCGUCACUUUCUUCUUUGUGCUUGCUUCUAGUGUUGCUGUAUUGGCAGUGCGUUAGUCUCAAAGCAACUUUCCAUUAGAGGAAGACCACAAAGACGUGAGCCUCGGUUCAGAUUUUCUAGACUGGUUGAAUUUUGCGGUGUUUUGGAAUGCUUGGAGCCUGAGUUCCCAAGAGCAUUGGCACGUGUUGAACUUGCUAUUUGAGAGGCUUAUUCUGGACAAAAUCAAAUCAACAGGAUCUUCAGACUUGAGUUCUUACUAUUCUGUUGUCCAGGUAUUGGUUCAAAUGUAUUGGCACGAAGACUGUCCUGAAAAAGAGCCUCCUUGCCAUGGGUUCUAUGCAGACUUCACUAUGGCAACAAGAAUAACAAUACCAGAUUUCAUCACCAGUUUAUCCGUUCUAUUUUGCAAUGAGUUCAUGUGUUUCAUGUAUUGAUUUUGUGUGUUUUGUAUCUUUUUGGAAAAGCAUAUGUAUAUUAUGAUUUACUUGUGUUUUAUUUGAGUAAAUUAUAUUUAUUAA